rnacentral:lncRNA from 1 species
CCAUGAUUACCUUCGGUGAGUAUGUAUGACGUUGUCCCUCUUCUUUUGCUUGUUAUUUCAAGUUUCUUCCUUUUCUUUCUAUCCUUCUGUAUCCACUCCUUGUUUUCUGUCUGAUUCUGACUUUCCCCUCUAAUUGAUUGUCAUUUCCUUUUGCACGCGAUUGAAGGGGUCAAGCUCUUCAAACCCUGAUUUUCAGUGUGAAAAUCAGAGUUGAAAUAUAGAGUUUUAGCGGAGCUUUUCGGUGUAAGGUUCGUUUGGGAUUUCAGCAGAGUGACGGUAUUUUUC